CUGAGGGUUUCAAAGAUCAAACUGGUCUCCAAGCAUUGGAUUUUGAAACUUUUGAGUCAGGGUGACCCUUUGGUAGUGAAUGCAAGUGUUGUUACAUAAAGUGACAUAUGCAUCCGGUUCCAUGCUUCAUUUGUAAGUUACCAUCCGAUCAAACAUCUGCACCAUCUUGUGUUGUGGCGUCUAAUGGUCACUAGAGGGCAGAAAUGGUUCCAAAGAACUUUGAAGUCGAUGAGGCAGGUUACAUUUUUAUUGUGGCAUGUUGGACUGUGGGAGGUGACACAGGCUCUCUGCUACUAUCAGCUUAAAAACCAAAUCAUACAUUGAUGAAAAAUUUCCUUUUAUAUAUUUUUCUACAGUGUGGAUGUGAAGUUUGUUUGUUUUUUCGUGGGGGGAUUUUUAUCCCAAAGCCAAUCCAUGAGGAGCGGUGUCUGCUGGAACAAAAAAUAAACAGCAUGACAUCAUAUUUAUGGAUAAAACUUAAUAAGAGAACCAAAGUUCUUGUGCCAGAAUUCAUCAAUUUUGAAAUGACAUCUGACACUUACCGGGUCAAAUGUGGUUGAUGGAACAUGAAGGAUUUUGGUUCAUACUUCAAAAUUUCAUCAAACAAAACUGAUGAACUUGUCCAUGCUUUUUUCCCUCUUUGUAGAAGAUUGAAACAAGUUUGUCAUGAUUAAGUCAACUGCUUGAGUCCGCGUCUCAUCUUUAAGAUCCAAGUAAAUGUUGUAAAAUAAGUUGUUGACUUAUUUGCCUAGGUUUAACUUGGGUAGUUAACGCCGUGUCUGGGUCAGGUAUCCGAUGGUUAGCUCUAACCUCUACGCUGUAGAUGGUCUUCAGCGUCAAAGAGGUUACACGUUUUGAAGAUUCAGCUUAUAAGCCACCACAAAGUAACGUCUCAUUGUUCUUUGUCGCCUGGCCUGCAUCAUCUUGAGACUGUGAAGACUGUUCCUCUCGUCUCGUUCGGUACGUCUGUCUGUGUGCAGCCUGUGUAUUGCAUUUUUCUCUUUGUACAAUAAACUUGGACAUGUGAUCAC